UCUGCCUCUAGAGGCAUUGAAGGUGUGGCUUCUGGUGUCACAUGUGCACCAGUAGGUGGCAGAGAGCAGAGGUUAUGUCCAUGCUCGGUGUUCUGACCUAUGAACAUCUGAAUGAUCAGUAGCCUAAUAUU
ensembl:snoRNA LOC120100416 small nucleolar RNA SNORA17